CUUUGUGCCAGAGCGAAGAGGAUGAGAAGCUGAAGAAGAGGAAGGAGCGGUUUGGCAUCGUGACGAGUUCGGCUGGAGCUGGAGCCACAGAGGACACAGAGGCAAAGAAGAGGAAAAGAGCAGAGCGCUUCGGGAUCGUCUGAGCCUUGUGCCCUCCUCCUCACUCUUCCUCCCCCUCCCUCACAUUCCCCCACUGUUCUUCAAGGUUUUAGCGAGGAGUAGGCAGGGAAUCCCCCAUAGUUGUUCCAUUGUGUCCUUUUUUAGUGGUUUCCUACGCUCCCAAGUUAAAGGUGAAGAAGAGUUGAGCAGAAAGAAGAACCCGCUUCCUGACUCAGUGCUGGGGCUCUCCCCAGCAGUAGGGACACGGAGUGGCUUCGUCCCCCUGUCCUGUGCUGGUCUCUGCUGUCCUGCCCUGGCACAGCCUCUGGGAAGGGGUUUCCUCAAGCAGCUGGUCUCCCGUUUCCAGCCAUGGAUGCAGUCAGUGGCUGGUUCCUCCCCAGUGAGGCCAAUGGGAACUAGAACUGGAACUGCUGGAGCAAAUGGUUUGCAAAUGGACCCUCUCCCUGCUCUGGUCCGUGAGGGUUUCCCAGGGUCCUCAGGGGCACGUUUCUGUCCUCAGCCAUCUCCCUGCCUGGCAUUCCAGAUGGGCACAAUGGCUAGAAUCCCACCCCUGUCCCAACACCGAAGCUUCAGGGUUCUUAGUUCUGACCAUAGCCUCUCCCCAGUGCGAUGUUCACCUUGUCUGUGCUCCAGAGCAGUGCUGGGGGCAUGAGGGGAGCAUCCAGAGGCUCCUUCCUGGUCCUUGACAAGCAAUAGAUCCCAUUUUUUUAAUGCAGAAGCCUUCAAACCGCCUCUGUUGUGUUCUCGUUGACACCCAGUGGCUUGGAGCAAGCCCUCAGUCAUCCCUUCCCUUCGCCACGAGCAGCUCCGGGGCUGUCACUGCUGUGUAACUCGAAUCCAUGUGGGAAUGUUCCUGAGGUGCUGUCAGGUUUCUAUGUCGGGUUUUGUAUGAAGCGUUUUCUAUGGGCUCAUGAGCUCCUCACCACUGGUUCCACAUUUGUGGCCUCUUGUUCUUGAUUUCAUAAUAAAACUGCUUCUCGGAGGCGAGGCCGGUCUCCA
rnacentral:lncRNA from 14 species